CAGCAGCGCGCGGCAAGUAGCCGGGGCUUCUUCCCGCCCGUCCUCUGCAGCACCUCAUAGGGCGGCUGUAGCCGGAGCGCGCCGCCUUCGCAGAGUCCAGCCGCAGGGACAGCGCCUGCCCUCGCUGCCCGGGGCCCGCCCCGCGCGGGGAAGGAAGAGGGUACAAACCUGUCUUUUGAAGCAACUUCUUUCCACCCUUGACGUAGGGCUGGGCCUACUGCUACCCUCCUCCCCUGCCGUUUGUCAGACAGACCAAGUAUGGGUAAGCUAAAAAGUGCAUGUUCCUACUCCAGGAGAGAAGCAAGCUCUGUGAGAAUGCAAAACUUCAUGAACCAGGGUUACCUCAGUUAUCAUUUGCCGGUGGCAUGGUUUUUGUCUUGUGUUUGUACAGCAGGUAGCAUAAUGUAUUCCUGGUCCACAGCUAGAGCUUGGAGCUAUUACCACAAAAAACAACAACAACAACAAAACCCCAACUGCUGCAGGAUUAACAAACUUAACACUCAAAGAUUCCAAUUUGAAAAUAAUAGGAUGAGGAAAAGUGUGGAAUAUUUGGGGGGUGAGUGUAGGGAUGGGCACUCCGUGACUAUAAAUUUUACACUGCUGCAACAGGAAUUAAUCUUUGUACUAAGGCCUAUAUACACCUGUAUUGAUGUAGUCCCCAUCACAGUAGUAGCCCAGUGCUUCACCCAGAUUAAUUUAUCCUCAACACCCUGUGGGGUAAGGCAGCAUUAUCUCCAUUCAGCAGAUGGUAAACUGAAGCACAGAGUAAACAACAGGCUCAAGCUCACACUGGAAUUUUAUGGCAAAGCUGGACAUUAAACAGGAGCACCAGUUCUGUGCCUUAACCACAAGUGUAAAAGCAAAACUUGGUGCAGAAGUCAGAGCAGCCACAAAAGUUUCAGUGAAGCACCUGUUUAACUCUUCACAUCACCACCCAGUGCAGUUUUCAUCUAGCAGAGGCUAUGAGCCUAUGAAUCAAGUUAUACUGGGGCAUGGGGGGAGGGGAAGAGAAGAGAGGGAGAGUUAAGCUUUGUUUAUAUGCAAAAUAAAUUGAAGUUGUGAUUUUUAAACUCAUUUUAACUGGUGCAAAACCCUAUGUGAACACCCUUAAAUGGUGAAAUUCUCUAAUGUGCCCCUCAUCACAGUAUCCAAGAGCCCUAGCUCAUAUGCUUUCAUUUGUAAAGCAGGAGUCACCCAUCCUUAACAGCACUUUCAGCUACACUUGGUCAAAUAUAAUUAGGACCGCAUACAGAAUUUAUCCAACUGAAAUUGCAGAAAGAAUGCUCUCCCUGCAGUCACGCAUGCUAGGAUUUGACCUGAUAUCAGAAUUAAAUUCUAACUCUCAAAAAGUGUUAUGGGACCUUUGGCGGCCACAGAUGGUGAAACCCAGUCAUGUCUUGGCCAAAAGGUUGGAACUCUGGCAGUAUGGCAUACCAUGCUGGAGCGCAGAAGUUCAGUGCCAGCCAGCAACAGAAUGGAUUCAGAGAUUCCCAACAGACAGCAAUUGGCAAUAUGGAUUCAGAUGGUAUUCUCACAGUUCAUAUUGUUUUCAACUUAAGAGAUGUAAAAAAAAUUAUUGUAAAAAGAUGAUUGUAGAAAAGCAAAUCUUUUAUUGAAACCAUUUCUUAACAAUGGAGCAAGUACAUUUCAACUGAAUUAGUUUGCCCUUUUCCUCCCAUGUAAAAAAAAGUUAAUAAAACUGACCAAAGCUUCAGUACAAACAAGUACCUGAAAUGCUAAUAGAAAGGAAAAGAAUUAGGACUUUAGGGCUGAGUGUCCACCAAUGUGGCAAAGAAAAAUAAAAAAAAUCCACAGAUACACAGCGCUGCAUAUCUUUGAACAGAUGGGGGUAUGGUGUAUCAGUACUUGAUAUGAACCCAAAAUAUCACCUGGGUUGGGCUUGGUUCUGUUUUAGGCAGUUCACACCAGUGAAGGUGGAAAAGGAGACACAAUCUUCACUGCCAUAAGAGAGGAAUCAGGGCUAAUACCAGCCACCCACGUUUGAGGAGGGGAACACCUUAAAAAAGUUUCCAGGAAUGCUGAAUAUUUAAAACUUUGCAUUUGAUUCAGGCUGGUUUUUCAAGAGUCACAGUAGAAUGCACAUUCUGGUCAACACAGAUUUGCAAAACGAAAUGCCUUGUUGUUUGUGUUUAAUCUUUUCAAUUCUGCACAGCUAACAAAAAAAUCAAUCAAUACAACGCACAACUUAAAGACAAGACCAAGCAUGCAAAAAAUUGCUGCCCUAAUCAUAUCUACAGUGUGUGCAAUUCUAGCAGAGGAGGAAGAGGGCGAUGAGAUAAAACCAUUUUUAAUUAAAGAGAUUUUUCUAAACUGUCUUUUCUCCCAGCCAAACAAACUUUCUGGUCUUGCAGCCUAUACAUGCGUCACUCCACAGGAGAUUUAACUUCAUAAGAAUUGCAGCAUUGAACGUGUGAAUCCAUCAGUUUUUACUUCACCUGAUGUUUAUUUUUAACUGUUCUUAGAAAGUCAGGGUUAGAAGAUGGGCAAACAAGUUGUACCAGAGGGUCACAUUCUUCUCAGGGAAACAUGUAUCUGAGGGAAGAACAUGACCUUUUGUGGCCCAUACUGUCAUCUGUUCACCCAAAAGGCACAUUUCAAUCAGAUCAGUCUUCCACCCUGUUACACUGUAACUACCCUGCUGUGAUUCCCAAUCACGGAGUAUACACUGCUGCGGGCACAGCAUCAUGAAUCCUGCAGCUCAAGUCUGAUCAUAACCAACUUGUAAAAUGCACUGCAAAUCCCACUACAGCUCCACUCCCUACCCCCCAAAAGGUGAAUAUAACCUAUUCUUAGGCCAUCAUGCUCAAUGGCAGAAGCAGAAAGCUUAGCUACAGUCUGUACAAACAAGAGGCAUUUUUGACAAAUCACCACACAAAUGUAAACAGUUGAGAAACAAGAGGGAAAUGCAAUGCCCAGGGUAAAAUUAUAUUACAUUGUAAUGGGCACCCAGAGCAGUUAUUGGUUUAUUCAUCCUUGUUAUGAAGGGCUGACUCCAGGCACAGGGUGAAAGACUGUCAGAAGACAUUUGCAGACAACGCUAAUACACAUGGACUUCCAGCAAUUCAGAAUAGUAUCCACAAAACUUCCCUACCGCCACCAUUGAGUGCCAAUGUUAAUAAUGAGACCAGAAGCCUGCUACCAAGGAUCAGACUGCAGAGGUCAUUAUAUAUGCAGCUUGAUGGGAUGAGAUUCCAUCCAAAGGAAGAUUUGAUGUCUUCACUACAGUGCAAGGACCACAGAAGGGCCACAAACAUCCAUAACCACACCCUAGGUACACUUAUUUCCAUUCAACUGCAGCAUGAUUACUCUUCUGCUUUUUGAAAGGAAAACUUCAGUAUUCAAGUGCUAUUAACAAACGUAUAUAAUUAAGUUUAACCUCACUGCAGCAGUCUCCUGCCUGCAGUGACAUUCUUGGGGAGCCAAUGCAGUUUGACACAAGGUUAUGAAAUGGAACUGAAUGCAGCGUGUUACUGGGAGUCAAGAGAGUACAUGAGCAGAGAUGGAAGGGAUAGGCUAAAAGGCUGUCCUAGUGGUGUCUGAAUUCCAAAGAUCUCUGUUAUGGAGAAGUUUCUGGUCUCUCUCUCUGGUGUACCAACAAGUUGGAGGAGUUUAGUUUCCACACAGUAGCUUGCUGUGUAGAUGCUGUGAAAGAUAGUAUUGGUGAUGGCAGGGAGACCUCUCCUAGAUAGAAGAGCAGUAUGACACAGUUUAUGGUAGGAGGAUGGGAAAAUUGCAGUCCCUAUAAGAAAAGUUAAGUGAGUCCUAGUUUUUGAGAGGAGCCUGGGUUGAUUAGGGAGAAGGAGGAAUUUGGUUACAGCAGAGGAAAAUAAGACUUCAAAACACAGCAAAACCAAGUUUAAUUGUGCAAAUGGGAUUACUUAUAAGAACAGAGUUCAGCCUGAGAAUGGCCCUGGGCAGGGAGCGUUGGAAGGUCCAGUUAUCUGUCCUUCCUGCUGUCUAGAUGCACGAGAAGACUCAGGAGGAAGCCUGUUCAAGCUGAUUUGCAACACCAGUAGUGGGGUGCAAAACCUUGAGACAAUGUGUUUCCUCUGCUUAUCUGCUCCUGAGUGAGAGAUUGCACCAUAAGAGAGGAAAAGCUACACUAGGAAUCCACAAAUCUGAAUGGUUAGUGGAAGUUCUGUUUGGGCUUGGAAAAACAGCAGUACUGAGAAAGGCGCCCUGAUGGAUUCACUGAUAGCACUGUGAUCUUCAAAAACAUAGCUGCUGGGAAGUGCUGGGAGGGACUAGAGCUCUGAACUGUAAUGUAAAAAAGUCAGAGAAAGUUUAAGGAAUUCCGUAAGCCACUUUCCAAAACAGACAAAAGCAUUUUAAAGAGAACAUCAGGAAGAGUAUUUUUUAUUUUGGUUGAAUAGGCCAAUGGAGAUCAAUGUCAGAUGCACAUUCACAAGGGCUUGCAUAUGAAGUAGGUCAGGAUCUCACUGGUGUGUUUUAGCAGCAUGAAUGUUUCCAAAAAGAUAUGAGACCAUCACUGAAGCCAAGAGGUUUCACAACAAAGCCAGUCUGAUUUCACAAGACACUGGGGGAGGAGGUUAACAAGAAUAGAUUUUUCCAGUUUUCAUCAUUCUGUGCCUCCUCAUCUAAAACCUAUUCCCAUUUGCUGUUCUGGUUGCAGUCAGAGAUUCACCAUCAAAUACUCUUUCACAUCUUUAGUGUUCCAAAUAGCAAUUUAUGAUCCUUUUAUUUUAUAUUUAAACUUUGAACCAAAUCCCAACAUCUUCCUUUAGGUCCCUAUUCUCUGAUGCCUGACACAGAACUAAGGGCAAAGAGAUGGCUUUAGCAGCACUAGUCUAAUGAAAAACGAACAGAAAUCCUCAUCCUAAGGCAUGGAGCAUCCCUCUCCACCAAAUUCCAUUUCACUUCCCCAUGCAUCAAAAUGAGAAUAUACUUCCUGUUGGCCACAGCAUCCUGUUUCCGUAAUUCAGUACCUCUUGCAAAGAGCUCUGUGGCAUGUUUCUGGGAUACUUUAACACCUUCAUCCUCACCAGAUGAGGCACGGCCCAGAGUGUUCGUGCCAAAUUAUUUCCUAAAUCUUACAGGCUUUUUUUGGUACUGUUUUAAUCUACCAAAAAAAAACCAAAAACACAGCCACUUCUGGUGACUUCAAUUGGACUGUACUGGAACUCAGCGUCUUCAGUGAGCACAUGGUCAUCUUUAAACAUGUGAAAAGACAAAACAACUCACUCACUAAAAUUAACAGUGAAAUUCCCAGGAGAAAAAAAAAAUGUACAUCUCUAUUGCAUUUUGUUGUCAGCCUGUUUGUCAUGUUCCAUUUAACAUGAAACUAAAUGGGUCCAUUAUAAAAAAACCUGUUAAAUAAAUAGAUGUGAUGCUAGAAGAAAUUUCAAGGGAUGUUAUAACUCAUCAUUCGUCCUGCUCUCCUCUUUAGCUUCUGGCUUCUUCUCACUCUCAGGUUCUAUGUAAUAAACAGAAACAAAAAUAAAGUGAAAUUAUGCUUAUAAAGUGACAAGCAUGCUAUACAAUGUGUUUUUUGGACGCUACUAUAAUAUAAACAUUAAAAUACUUCAACACACUCAGAGAACAGGGGAUUGUAGAGUUGUGGAAGUAUGCUUGGACACUAGUAUUAGAUUGUAGCUACUACAAGUGGCAUGAUUAGACACCAAGGCCUGAUUCUUAAAACACUGAUGCACAUAAGUGGCUUUACUCAUAUGUGUAAGUGUUUGCAGAAUCAGGCCCUUGAGUAGCCCAAAAAUUCUAUCUGAUAGGUGGUGGCACUGGUGAGGACAGGAACAAAAAUAGCCAGUUGCAGACAUACCAAGGUGAGAUAGAGAUUCACCCAUGCUGUGUGGGUUAAAAAGGAGGGGGUAAACCAGCAUGGUCACAUAUCUUGCCACAUGGAUAUUAUUUAGAGUCACACUGUCAGGUUAAAAGUUGCUUUUGGAAAAUACAUUUCCUUCCCAUGUUAUAGACAAUCCCUUGAUUAUUCGAGCUGAACAAUUUCUAAGAGUUUAAUUUACUUUUUACGCUCUACACUAUUUGCUUAAAGUAUACAUUUAAUUCAGUUUGGAUAAUGAAAAUGUAUUAGUUUCCUUGUUUAUGGUCACUUGCAGGUUCUCACACACUAGCACAGGACUGUAGUGUUUGACUUCCAAAUGCUGCAGGGAACAAUUGCGUUAAAAGUCCCUUAGAACUUUCCACUGGAACGUAAAAACUGUCAAGAGAACAUUUCAGUUGGUUAGGUUGUAGAAGUUUGGUUUUGAUCCUUUCAGGGACACACUACCACUAUAAUAGUCCCCUAGUUAGGUACAAUAGUGUCCUUCAGCCUCAGUGCACAGGAACUUAAAUUGCCACAUCAAAUCAAGCCAACGUCCCAUUUCCAACAGUGGCUGGAACACGCCAAAAGUUCUAAAGCAGAUGUAACCAUGUCUUCAUAAUAGCCCUAAGAAGACAGUUUGAGGUUUUAAAUCAGUUAGUGACCCCUUUAGGUGGGUCUGUGUUGCAAGGUUUACAACCAGUUCCCCUUCCUCAGUUCUAGCGGUAGUGUUAAAGGAGCCACAGCUACCAUUCCAUCCCAGACGUUUUUCUGUAGCUGGCCCUUUCAGUUGUAAAGUUUGAUUCACUGACACUUUCUCAGCAGCCAGAGGCUCCUUCUCACCCUGUGGUUCAUUUGCAGGGAAACAGAAAUGGAGAGAGAUUUGCAACCAGUGGACUACAGACAUCCACAGUCACUGAGUUCCAUUUCCUUACACAAAUGAAUCCCUACCUGUGUCCGGUCCGGACUGAUCACCUAGUGUUGCUUCCUCGACUAUGGGAGGUUCCCUGACUGGACUGACAUCUUCAGGUUUAUCUGUAUUAUGGGGGAGAGAUGUGCAACAAGUGGUCAUACAAGUAUGUCAAGCCCAACACCUCCCCUAGCUCUGAUAUAGAAUAUCAAAUGUACAGAUGAAACACUGGACAGGAAAAAAAGUUUGCCAAUGUGGAUUGUAAGUGAACCAAUUGCAGCCCAACACUAGAACAUUACUAAUUUCUCAUAAUUGAUCCCGGGAAAGCCAAUGGGAUGGUCAGUAAGGGUAGUCAAUAGGAGCACUUUGAGAAAACACAGAAGUACCCCAGCACAGCGGAGGAAGCAUCAGGCAGCAAGCCACAAGGGAAGAGUUCAGCAGGGAUCAAGAGCAGCCAGAGGCAACUCUGGAGCAGUCAAAAUAGUGUGUGUGGGGUUAGGGUUGUGUUCUGAGCUUGCCAACAGCCACUGGAAGAAGAUCAGUCCCAGGCUGAGUUCUGAGAGUUGUGCAGGAAAGCCAUCCCACGGGCUGGAGCCUGACUGAGAUAUCCCGCUAAAGGAACCAGGGCUAGCAUAGGGGAGCUUUGUCCACAGACAGAGUGGUUUGAUCUUUAUAAAGGGACCAGGCACUCAAGACCUCAUCUAUCUUGAGAGCUAGGAGAGCUGUAAAUCCUAGCGUCCCUAAUGAUGUGACCUAGGAAAUCUCUGAAAUCAGCUGGCUACCACUCAGGUAGCAGAGAAUCAGCAGGUAUCCAGAGCAAGAUGUCACCUCUUAGAAGGCUGUGCCUCACAGUGGGGAGCAGAGACCAAAUUGGUGCUGAAGGCGGUCUCUUCUCCAGGCUCUAUUUAAGCCACAAAGGCAGACGCUUUCCCUACCAUGAGCUUUAUAAAACUUGGACACCUUCUCAAACCAAUGUCAAUGAAAGAAGAUACAGAAGUAGCACUUGGAACAUGCUAUAUUUCACCAAGCUUUCUCCAGUAAUUCCCUGAUUAGGAGGAUCAGCAGCUUUUCCGCUUUUAUCAAAGAUUUCUCUCAUUACAAUCUCCUUUUGCUCAGUGCAAACAGCUUUGAGAGAACAUUAUACCUGGUGGUUCAAUAAUAUCAGAUGCUCACAGGAGCACUUGCCUGUCCUGAGUGUGCCUCACCUUCUCCUUUCUCCUCCUUGGGAGGGAUAACCUUCUCGCUGUCGGGUGGAGCUGUGGCAUUCUUGCCUGAAUCAGUUUUUGUGGUGUUCUUUUCCUUCUUGGGUCUGGGUUUUGCAAACUUAGCCUUGUUCAGUAGAUAUUGCACCUCCCUGUCCAGGGCUGCUAUCUUCAGCUCUAUGUCCUUGGACAGCAGGGUGGGCUUCUCAGUGGGAGGAAGUUUAUUCUGUUCUGCCAGUGUCUCAUUUUUCCAAGUCUGCAAGGAAAGCCCAGGGUCAAUCUCUCCCCAUGAAUACGCUGCUAUUUCCUGGUUACAUGAGUUACUGCUUUUAAACACACAAUCCCAGACAUAGCACCUGGGCAUUCUAAUUGCCCGUGGUCAACAAGGCUUCCACCCCCACAUCUGCCAGCCUCUUAGUUCUACAAGACCAGAGAACAAGAGUGCCAUUGGCUGCUCUUAAAACCGUACAAAUAUUAAUUACUGGGAAGGCACUAGCCUCCCAUAUUGCACAUGAACCAGCUGUAUCUCCAAUCGCUACAUUUUUCCGAAGCAAUAUACAAUCAAGUUUGGUAGCAGGGAGUAUUAAAACAGAGAGGUUUUCCUAAUGUGAGGAGAGGAUGUACGUCCUCUGCUUCCUAUCCCCAAGUGAAGGUAAAUCCAUUAGCUGUGACAUUGAUCACAUUAUCCAACAACACAUCCUGAAUGGACUCCCCAGCCCCUUCACUUACCACAGUUUCAUUGAUUGCUUUCUCUAGGGUACUCAGUUCCACCUCUGUGAAUAUCUGAUCGGCCUCUGGAAUCAUUCGUGCUCCCCUGAAAGACAAGACCCAGGUAUUUCAGCCAGGACUGAACCCAGUCUGGGUCCCACCUCCCCAUCAAAGCCAACACCUCACCUGAACAGUCUCUGUCAGGUUCUCUCCUGUUUCCAGAGUAGGACCUCCUCCUCCAAACAGGCUAGAGAUUGUGUUUCCAAGUUCUGCAGGAGAAAAAAAAUAUAAAAACCAAAAAAAAACCUCAGAAUGUCAGUCUUUGAAGCAGUCCGGAGAACAGUGUGAGAGGAGGAGGAGGAAGAGCAGCAACAGCAGGAGGAAGAGCAGCAACAGCAGGAGGGAGUGACAUGCAUCAGUCAGGGGUUUGGUAACUCAUCAAUGCAAAACAAAUUUUCUUGACUUUAAAAUCAUGAAUUCUGUAGAAGUGCCCCUCCAAGGUCCAACAGUAAUCCAGGGGCAGCCUGGGAUCCUGACAAUAUUUGCUGUAACAACUCUUGCACUACCAUUGCUAGCUCUUUCCCUUCCUGCACAUCCCUCUAUAUACGAAGUACUGGGCCCUCAUCUCUGCAAAAGCGUAGCCUGGAAUCUGCCUCUCCAAACGGUGAUUGAGUUUUCCACUGUUCACUGCCCUAGGAGACCUCCACCCAUAUGCACUCUCACUCCUCCUUCCAACACACCAGCUAUAAGUCUCUGCACUUGCUCUGAAAGCAGGACAAUGGAAAGCUUCCAGUCAGUGGCAUCACGGCCCAACCAAUGAAGCACCAGAUGCACAAGACCUUCCACUGCUGCCUUCAAGACGAAGGAAAGGGAUUUGUUUCCUUCUAAAUACACCCCUUCACUGAGGGAGGUGAAAAUGCAGCUCCCUUGUAUUACUCAUGCAUGUGGUGUAUACCUGGAUACCAUGCUGAUGGGCACCUUAGGAGCAUAUAUGACACUUUCAGGGAGACUUGUCCCCUCAACUAGCAGCACAUGCUCAGGGCCAUUAGUUAUUUUGGAUCUGCUAAGAUUAAUAGACAGGUACUUGCGACCCUAAAGAUUCCUCAGUGCCAAAAGAAUUCACUAUUCUUUAACAAAUCCCAUCAGGCUUGUCAAACUCACUACACCUAACAUACUGCUUUUGUAGUAUUUAUCUAUAAAGAAUGUCACGUAAGAUCUUAAAUGAAAGCCAGGUUCUCACUGGUCAUUUAUAUACGGUAAUUGCAAAACAUAUGCACUGAAGCUAUGUAAGGAGUUAUGCAUAUAUAUGCUGGAAAAUAUACAUUUUAAGUCUGAAUCAAAGUAAGUUUGACAGACAGGCUUUUGCAAGACAAAAAGGAGUAUAUUCACCUGUUUGUCUCAGUUCAAAUGUACAUUAAACACUGUGAGCCAACACAACGGAAGAUCUGUUUGCAUAUGAAAUCAACAUGAGAUAUGAAGUCAGCACACCAGGGAGUAAGCCCCAGGGGUAAUCCUGACUCAGGGGACAAACAAUGGAUUUUUGGUGUGCUAUAAGGAAAAGGAUAACAUUAUCCUUCAGCGAGGAAGCAAAAACAGUGCUUUUUGCAUUAAUGAUAGAGGAAUCUUAGCUGGGUUGGCUGGAGACAUUGAGAGAUUGCUUCAGGUGAGGAACUACUUUAGACAAGUUAAGCAGCUUGUUAAAGUUAAGUUUAGGCUCUACCAAGAGUGUUAUACUUUUUGUUUUACAUGUAAACAUUUCUGUUUCCAUUAUUGUUCUUGCUAUUUCGUCAAUCUCAGCUUUCAACAACUUAUGUUUGUUUUCAUUAUAAAUAUAUCUCGGUGCUAUGAUGUUA